UGAGGGAAUAUUGGGUCAAUGGGCGGAAGCCUGAACCAGCCAUGCCGCGUGAAGGAAUAAGGCCCUAUGGGUCGUAAACUUCUUUUGGCGGGGAGCAAUAAGGUCUACGUGUAGACCGAUGAGAGUACUCGUUGAAUAAGCAUCGGCUAACUCCGUGCCAGCAGCCGCGGUAAUACGGGGGAUGCGAGCGUUAUCCGGAUUCAUUGGGUUUAAAGGGUGCGUAGGCGGCUUUGCAAGUCAGCGGUGAAGGGCCCGGGCUCAACCCGGAAAGUGCCGUUGAUACUGUGAGGCUGGAAUGCGGAUGCUGUGGGAGGAAUGAGUGGUGUAGCGGUGAAAUGCAUAGAUAUCACUCAGAACACCGAUUGCGAAGGCAUCUCACAAAUCCGCAAUUGACGCUGAGGCACGAAAGCGUGGGGAUCGAACAGGAUUAGAUACCCUGGUAGU
rnacentral:rRNA from 1 species